CAGCCCCCGCUCUGGCCACCACCACGGGGCCCAUUCCUCACUGCCUCCUCCUGGACUGCUGCAACUGCCUCCCACCUGUCUCCUAGCCCCUCUCCUACCCCCUUCUCACUCCCAGGGUAUGUCACUCACCCCUGCUUAAGGCCGGUGUGGGGUUUGUUGCCUCCAGGGCAAGGACCAGGCCAGGGCGGGUCUCUGCAGCCGCAGCACACCGCAAACCGUCCACCUCUGCUUCCUUAUCUCCACUCGGGUGUCGGACCCCCGCGUCCCUCUGGCAGCGGGCCCCGCCCCACCCGACCCAGCCCCCUGCCCCUCCUUCCCUGCGGCCGAUUCAGGGAGGGAGCCCUCCGCGCCGGCCCCUCUCCCUGAAUCCUCGCUCCUGGGGAGGCCCGGGUCGGUCGCUCGGGGCUGGCAGGAGAGGAACCGGGGGGCUGUCUGCGGGCGCCCCCGGGCUCCCACACGGGUUCCCUGAGUUGAAAGAAGGUAUCAGUGAGGGCGAGGAGAUGGCGAGGCAAGAAAAGGCCCAGUUUCCAUAGCAACCGAAAGGCUGCGGCGCCAGGAACAGAGAGGACGAGGGGGCUGUCCUGGGAGCAGAUUCGGUCCUGGGAUUUGAGGACAGAAAGGACUUUCAGUUCCCGCUACUUCAGAAGUUCUCAACAGGAGCUCUUUUCAGGCUUCACUUACAUGCCUCCAGUGACGGAGGGCUCACUACCUAUGGGAUCAGGCCGUACAAGUUGAGGAGCUGGGGCACUGGUGCCAGAGCUGCCGGGACCCCCCAGGGGAAGACGUUGCAUGUGUGUCUCCAUAGCAGAAAGGCAGCACCCGGCUUGCACUGAAGCUUCAAGAGGAACGAGCCCGGGCAAAAACUAAGACACCAGCUUCUGUCCUCAGAUUCUCCAAGGAAGAGGGGACCAGGGGUCUAGGGGGUAACUCAGGGGGUCCUGCUGGCUCCUGGCCCAAGAUCUCUCAGCUUGUGACUGCAGGGUGGGUGUGGGGAUAGGCAAGAAGGGGGCAAGAGAUCUGCAUUUCCAGAAGUAAAGCGUCUACAGUACUGACAUCUUGUUUGUGAUACGCGUGGCAAAGUACUUAGGGGGAAAGGUACACACACAGAAAUAUGUCCAAAAAUAAGAGGAUGGCUGGGGAGGUGGGGUUAGAUGGACCCGUGCUGGAAUUCACAAGCUUGAGUCAUGGGUCCCUGCCGACCCUGGUUCUGUCUUCUGUAAAGGGGAUGAUCACGGUACCUGCCUGGAAGGUUGGAGUGAGGACGGCAUUUCUGAGAUAUCUGCACUGACUCUGGCUGAUAUGCCCGUCUGAAGUCUCCAUGGGCAGCAAAGUUGCCUCUUGGCUAAUCCUGCUGAGGCUGGGGUCUGGGGCAAAGGUGUAAUUCCUUCUUCCCAUCUAAGUUUACAGACCCAUGAACCCCAUAGGAAUCCCUGCCCCAGUGAGAAUCAACCCUCGCUGCUGGGCUGGCAGACCCUUUAGCCUGUCCUUGUCCUUCCCGAGCAAUGGGAACUUUUAAACCUUGCCAGCCCAAGUGGCAGCGGGAAUGUCCGGGCUGUUGGAGGUGAUGGCCUCGGCUCCUCAUCCCAUCCCACCUCGAGUCCCAGCCUGGAAACUCUGGGGGUCACAGACUGAGGAUUUGCUUUCUGUUCUGUCCAGGAAGGAAACAGGGCCAGUCCUGAGCAGAGAACAGGGCAGUCGGGCACUCAGACCUCGUGCCAGCAGCUGGGCGGUCUUUUAGCAGCUGGGGAGAAGCAAGGCUAUUUCUGUGCCUACCAUGUCCCCAGGGCCCAGCCAGCCAGGAAGGCCACUCAGGGCCAGGCCUGUCCAGUCAUCAGCCAUGACACUGGUUUUCCAGAAAGUGUAGGCAGGAUGGGAAAACGCUGUCUGUCUGGGAAGCAGAGGUGCUGCCCAGUGGUGAGUGAGUGGCCACGGUGCCCGGGGAAGCUGGGUGUGAGCAAUAUGGCCCCCAGCUGGUUGGCAAGUCCAAGUGUAUGGGAAGGGAUGUUGCCCACAGAGCAGCCCAGCCCUUCCUCCCCUCAGACAGAGCAGAAAAGUGAGGGUGUUUCAGGCAAGAGAAUGGCCUGGACACAGGUGGGGAGUUCAGCAGCAAGGACAGAACCGUGGGCCAGGGCGGUCAGGCCCUUCCUGGAGGCAGCUGUCGGGGCCGAGCAUGCAGCCUCUGAGUCUGGCUCUGGGCUUCAAAGCCUGCUCUGGCUGUGCGGUCUCGGGCGAGUUGCGUAACUGCUCUGUUUCAGUAAGAUGGGGAUUACCAGAGCAUCCAGUCUAAGGGCUCUGGCAGGGAGCCCAUGUGACAACAGUAAGGGCACAGUGAGUGAGAAAGGAGGGUUAGCGCCUCUCGGCCUCAGUUUCCCCAUGUGGGAACUGGGAGAGCAGACUCUGUCCCAUCUUCCAGGGCCGUCUAGAUCUGAUGUGACCCCUUCCUCUUGUCUGGGGACGGCGUCCAGCUCCCUUCCUCUCGGCCCUCUCUGAAAAGCCAUUUGAUUCAUUUUUGUGGGGGAAUCUUCCAUCAAAGAUGAGGGCAGAGAAAGAGGGCAGAAGCAGCCCAUCAGGGGGCCGCCCCUCAUCUCCCACCCAGGCAGGGUCCCCGCCGUCCACACGUGUCAUAUAGGCACCGAGCACACCGGGGCAGCCCUCCAUCUUGUCCCACUUCACAGAACCUCUGCAAGGGUCUGUCGGUGCCGUUUCGUAAUCCUGGUAAACACUGGCAUUCCCUUGUAACAUUUAUUUAUGCAUUUAUUGCAAAAUAGUUAUUUUUCUCCUCGUAAGAGGAGUACGGACUCAUUGCAAAAUAUUCAGAAAAUAAAAAGUGUGAGGAAGAGAGAAGAAAAAAAGAUUGCCCUUAACCCUAAUACCCAGGGGUUGUCACUGUCAACCCUCUGGUUCUCACCGGGCCAGUCCGAUUUUUAAAAACCCUCCCUGGAGAAAGGUAUUUGCUCACUUAUUUACACACUAAAGACCCUACCUACAUGUGUGCGUGCUGUGAUAUUUCUGACUUUAAAUGCAUGUACACACGUGUGUGUGCACGUACAUAUCCACACAUACAUACAUGUUCACACAUGUACGUGCAGUCAUGUUUUACCUCUUGCAUGGUCUCACACAGCCCCUGUGAUAGGAGAGCAAAGACACGAAAAUAAAUCAUGUUUCGAAGUUCUGCACAUACUCAUAUCCAUCGUUAAGUGCCGCGGCCUCUGUCCCAGGACCCUGCGAAGCUGCUGGCCCCACACAGAGGCCCCUUCCUUCUCCCCAGGUGGGCAGGGGACCGCGCUCCCGGAAGGCACGGCUGCUGGUUCCCACGUCCUUUGCUGACCGCCUUGAGCCCCCCGCGCACCUGUGCAGAUCGACCCUCACCUGAAUUCUUCAAACUUGCCCAUCGGUCUCUGCGCUCCAUUCCGCACUCCACGUUCGGAAGCUGGUUCAACCGCGUUCAACCCCGCGGGGGGCAGCCAGGUGGAGUCCAGCUUUUCACAAUCAUUGUGAAAGGUUGUGGACUCUCCCUUGGGUGUGCCUUGGAGAGGGCUUCUUGGAAGUGACAUUGCUGGGUCUCGAGAGCACACGGUAACAUUUCUGGCUGCGUCUGUGGACGGUCGGUGACGCUCUGUCUGGAGGAACCGCGCUGAGCACUCGGCCAUCCCCUGUGGCUGGACGCGUCUGCUGUUCCCAAUACUUCCCGUGAUACAUAACACCGGGGGGGGGGGACGUCUUCAAGCACAAACUGGCUUUUGUGUCUGGAACUGCUCUCUGGCUGGCCCGGCUUUACCAGGGUAAAGGGACCCCGAGGCCCGUGCUGGAUGGUUCGUUUAGAACAGCCAUACCCGCCAAAGUUUACACUGGAGUGACAAAUCAGACGGGAAUAACUGCUUUAUUUUGUGGUCUGCGUGUCCACUGACAGCAGGAGGACAGCGCCCCAUGAGACGCCCAGCAAGUGGGUCCUACAGAAAUAUCGGACCUUAAAAAAAGCAACAAAAAUCGAACCUCAACUUCCCUCCCCUGGGGCUCCAGCUGCCUAUUCCCGCUGCAGACGGAAGCAGAUACUUCUGGUCGUAGAGGGGGCCUCGCGGGCCAGACCACACAGCCCUCCCCUAUGUGGCGCCCGGCGCUGCCAUCCAUGUCCUCCCCCCAUCAGACCUCAGGCCCCCCACUUGCUCUUGCCUGUGCUCACCAUUGCCCUGGGCCGUAUGGUCAGAACCUAUACUCGCGUGAACGGAUUUUAAGGUCAGUCUCUGAAACUGGAUCGCUGACACACGUUGCGAGAAAAUCAUGUGAUCCCCUGUGUGCCGCCCCCUCCCCCACUGCACCCCGACUUUGGGAGCCUUCCAUUUGGACUCCGUGCAUCCGAAGCUAAGGCCGGCUGUGAACCUCACGCACCUGCUCAUCCGCUGGCGGAACCUGUGUCUCUUCAAUAAUCAGGUUUUAACCCACUGGCUGUGCGGGAGCGGUACGCGUGAGCCCUGCCCGCAGGCGGACUUUUCUUCUCUCUUGGCCCUCGGGCUGCCCGAGACCCACCCCUCCUGCCUGAACCACCACCAGCUUCCCUGCGGCCCGGCAGCCGCUCAUAGGUGGGAAUCGAGCUGCCAUCCCUCAGCUCGCCCACCCGGUCUUCUCGGCUGCGAUGCACACCCACAGUCAGGGUCCGCCACUCACGGAGCUCCUGCUCUCCCCGCACGGGACGGCAAUGUCUGGGGUCAUCCUAACAAUGGCCCUGUGGGCCAGCUAGGACUAGCCCCUUACAGAUGGGACAGCGGAGGCUCCCAGGGCACAUCCCUGCCUUGCAAGUGGCAGGCACAGGACGCCUCACUGUGCCUCAGCCUGGAGCGCCACUCAGGCGUGUGCUCAGAGCAUGCACGGGCCGGGGUGGGGGACACACCGGGACACGUGUGCAUGAACGUGGUGGCUGAGGGGUCUGCAUCCAGCCGCCAAGCUGAGAUCUGGGCAAGUCUGGCUAGGAGCCCCAGAGGCACCCACCUGGCCCAUGUUUGGCCCCGCCAAGCUGGGUCUCGGAGGAAAAGGGGGUGGGGAGCCAGCCUGCCCCUCGGGGCUGCUGUGAGCCAGAGGCUCCCUCCCGGUCCUGGGCAUGCCCUCCACAUGAGCAGCACAGGGCAGCCACAGCAAGUGGUCCCCCAAGUCACCCGCACCACAGACCAGGACCGCGGGGCUGGGCACAAAGAAGUCUGUUUUCUCCCAUUCUGGAGGUGGGAAGACUGAGAUCAAGGGGUCAGCAGAGCCACACUCCCUCAGGCCUCUAGAGGAGGAUCCUUCCUGCGCCCCCGGGUGCUGAUGCUGGCUACCAACCCAGGGCCUUCCUCUGCAGACUUGUCCUUCCAACCUGUGCCUCUGUCCUCACGGGGCCUCUCUGCUGGGUGAGUCUGUCUCUGUGUCUCUUCUCCUAAGGACAUUUGACAUUGGAUUUAAAGCCCCCCAACUCCAUCCGACAGGACCUCAGCCUCACCGGAGCACGUCUCCAAAGACCCACACCCACAGUAGCGUCUGGGACUCAAACAUGUCCUGAACGCACCCGCCCCCAGCACCACAGGUAAGGGCUCGCUGAGGUGCCCACGUGGAGGGGCCCCAGUGCCUUUGCAGGGUGUCUCAUGUCCAUCUGUGUCCCCAUUCUUGUGCACUGGGACAUGCUGCCUCUCCCAGAAACAUGGAGACAGGAGAGACCAGGUGCUAACGAGGGAGCUGAGGCGCACAGCCAUGACCGUAAAUCCCAGGGGGGCUUGGGGCCAGCUGGCGCGGGGGGCUCCCGUGCACACUGGGCUGGAUGUGGGAUGAGGGCACUGUUCCAGGGCCAGGCACUUCCCACAGGACCCGCACCCGUCCCGUCUCCGGGACGUGAACUCCUGAGGGAGCCCUGCUCUGCUCACCCCUGUUCACAGCCCUGAGCAUGGAGCAAGUCCCCAUGAACACUCGGCACCUGUGGGAGUGAAUUCCCUGGUGUGGAAGGAAAAGCCUUGGAGGCAGGAGAAGUCCUGCCUCAGUUUCCCCAACUUGCACAGGGGGUUGGGCCCAGACCCAGACAUCCCACUGCAAACUGCCUGGGCAGCGCCACCUGCUGGACGGACCAGGAAGUGCACCUGAACAGUCCGCUCCUCCCCACGCCCUCCUCCCGCACCCAGCUCCGGGCCAGGAAGUCGAAGAAACGCACAGGCGCUGUCACUUGCUCGCCCUGCGAUGUCGGUCACAUCCUCAGCCCGCCGCAAAGCUUGAUGCCAAUGCCCACCCAACCCCUGUUCCGACAUCCUUCACCAAAACCACCUGCCCGCCCACUCUCCACCCCGUCCACCCUGCUCUCCGCCCUCGGAGCUGACCGAUACAUUCUGCAGAAACAGCCCUCCUUGCUCUCUGGCUUCUGGAGCCCAGAGGGUGCCCUGCUACCAGCUAAGUGGGAAGGUGCAGAAGGAGGCCCAAGUGUCUCGUCCUCUACACCCUUCCCCAGGUGGCGUCCGGCCAGGCUUCUCACCUGAAGGUCACACCCUUUAAGGCUAUGGCUCCACGUUCCCCCCACAUUCCAGCCCCAGUCCCCUGCGCGCCCCAGGCCCAGCGUGGAUGAAGCUCAGCAGCUGUCCACGUGGGAGCACCGCGUCUUCGUGGUGGCGUUCUGCCUGCCAUGCCCCUGUAAAUGAUACCCCAUGAGCCCCUCCCCGCGCAGUCCUACUGUGGGUGGCAACAGCCACCUCUCCCCUUCAGAAACCCCCGCUGCCUUCAGUGGAGACAGAAGCCCCAGUUAAAGGCAGGCAAAUGCAUCGGCGGGUUCUGAAGACAGUUUCACUGGUGGUGACCGGUCGGGUCACUGUUCUCUUGAGACGGGAUGUCAUAAAGAUGUAUGGGGACGCUCAGCACACUCCAGGGCCAGCCUGGCUACCAGAGAGCCAAGCUGUCCCCUCCUGAGUUCUGCUGAAAGGGGCUGCUCGGUGGCGAAGGGGAGGGGUUAGCAGGAGGGUGUGGUGAUGGGCCCAGGUUUUCCCCAGAACUCUGUCAAGGUCAGAGCAAGCAGCCUCCUAACCCCCAGCCUGCCUGCUGGAAAGUUAAAUUCCGUCAGAGAGCAGUGACAGCUGCCAAUUAGAGAUAGAGGGGAGAGCGGGGGAAGGGCACAUGCUUUGAAGUUGGGCCUGCCUGGGCCGAGUGCCCAGUGCUGCCGUUUUCUAGCUGGGUGGCUUGGGUGGCUUGGGCAGGUCCCUCAGCCUCUCUGAGCCAGGUGUCCUGGUCCGUGAAGUGAGGGUGGCAUUCCUGCCCUUGGAGAAUUAUUCAGACGUGGCUAUGCCCCGUCCACACUGUGGCACACUUGGUUAUGGUUAGCGUGGUAGCCGCGGUCAGGAGCGUUCCUAGGGUUAACACAAGAACAGCACUGCUAGCUGAACACCAUCUUCGAACAUAAGAAAAACGUGCAUCUAUUUUAAUGUUGAAACCGCUGACUACUGACCUUUACUGCUUAGUCACAGGUGAGGACGCUGGGACCCAAAGAAGGUGAGUAGCUUGCUUGAGGUCACACAGCAGUAGCAGAGAUGGGUCUGGAACAAGGGUCUUCUGAAACUGUUUUCAAGCCUCAUGCUGUGGCAGACACUACCACGGCAACUGGCCAUGAACCACGUCCUGUGGGAUCCCCUCCCCUCAAGGGUGGGCAAGACCUAUGGACUUGCUUCUUUAAAAAAAAAAAAAAAGAUUGACUGAUUGAUUUGCGAGAGCAGGAGGAGGGGCAGAGAGAGAGGGAAAGAGAGGAUCUG